AGCUCCAAUAGCGUAUAUUAAAGUUGUUGCGGUUAAAAAGCUCGUAGUUGGAUUUCUGUUGAGGUCGGCCGGUGUGCAUUACGUGUAUUAUUAGGUUUGGUCUCGGCAUCCUCUGGGGCACGUAUCUGGACUUUAUUGGACAGUGCGAGAUUCCAGACUUUUACUUUGAGGAAAUUAGAGUGUUCACGGCAGGCAAGCGCUUCGAAUACAUUAGCAUGGAAUAAUAAUAUAGGACCUUCGUUCUAUUUUGUUGGUUUCUAGAACCUAGGUAAUGAUGAAUAGGGACAAUUGGGGGCAUUCGUAUUAACGCGUCAGAGGUGGAAUUCUUAGAUUGCGUUACGACGAACUACUGCGAAAGCAUUUGCCAAAGAUGUUUUCA
rnacentral:rRNA from 1 species